rnacentral:lncRNA from 1 species
CAGGCCUUUAUGAGGGAGGAGUGACUGCUGUUUGCAGACUUUGAGAGAAGAAACUAGGCGUGCAUGGUCUGGCACGUUCUGAUUCCCUUUGGGAUCUGUUUGCCUCCAGAGAACAUAUCAUGGUCUGCGCCGAGGUGUCUGGGAAUACGGCUGGGGGCUUAAGUCAUGGUAGUGGUCUGCUUAAUCAAGUGUUCAUUUGUUUUUAAAAAAACAACCUAGCUAAUCAUCGGAUUUGUGCUCUUGUGGCUUGCUUUAAAGGUUGCAUAAUUGACUUUAAACUGGCAUGAUUUAGGUGAGUGGCUUUAAGACUUGGGAUUUUGUGAGUGCAAGCUAGUUAUUUUGACCUUGACAGGUCAUCACUGCUUCAAGUAGCUUUAUCCUCAGGCAAUUGACUGUGUCUCAGCAAAAAUGGGCCACAAUGGCCUUGGCAGAUGUUGGCUGCUUGGGCUCUAGAAUGCAAACUGCUGNGCAAUUGACUGUGUCUCAGCAAAAAUGNUUUUUUUUUUUUUUUUUUUUUUUUUUUUUUUUGCUUUUUAGGGCUGUACACAUGGCAUAUGGAAAUUCCCAGGGGUUGAAUUGGAGUGGCAGCUGCCAGCUUACACCACGACCACAGCAACUUGGGAUCUGAGCCAUGUCUGUGACCUACACCAAGGGCAGGGAUCGAACCCACGUCCUCAUGGAUCCUCGUCGGAUUCAUUUCCCCUGCACCACAACGGGAACUCCCACAUUGGGACUUGGAACAGCGGAAGCUGUUGAGUUCCAAGUGAACUGUACUAGUGAAUUUCAAACUUUAAUGUAUUUAUGCCCGGCCUGAACAGACAGUGCUAGAUCAGCUGCCUGAAAUGCCAUCCUUUUUCUGUUGCUUCUAAAGCCGCAUUCGUGGCAAAGUAAGAACUAGUAUCUUUGAUGAGCGCUCCUUACCCACAUGAUCUCGCAGGUGCACCUUCCACUGUUGUCACCACAGGGUCUUAACGUGGCUGUGGCUUUGUUCAUUACAGACGUUCUAGCCUUAGUUGUUUUUUUGUUUUUUUGUUUUUUUGUUUUUUUUUUUUACGGCAGGAAAUAGAUUUGUCAAGACAGGAUGCUUAUGAGAGAUGCAGGUGGGCAGGCAAGGAGGCUCUGCCUAACCUUAGUUUUAAAUUCCAGAGGCCCAGACUCGGAUUUUAUUUGUAUUAGUUUGGUCAGUUUUGGUAAUUAUGAAAAACUAAAAUCAUGUAUUUCCUUACUGUAAAGGGAAUAGUCCUUCUUCUUGGUCGGAACUAGAAAACAACCCAAAGAGACUGCAAAACUAAAGGUUAUGACAGUAGCUGAGGAGGCCUGUACCUGGAACAACGUAUUUCUUGGAAUCCCAUUUCCAGAGAAAUCAAGAAGUGGUUUGGAAAAAUAGGUUGCAGCCAUACACUCCAAAAGGAAUGAGAGAAGAAUAAAAAUGAAGGAAAGCACUUAAGUACACGUGAUGAAGGUAAAGCAUUGUUUCAGAUUGUAGGUGAUAUUCUAGGCAGAUGUGAAGAAGAAAAAAGCAUUAUAUCAUCAAGGCUACAAUAAAGAGAUUUUUUUAAAAAAAGAAAAUGCUCUAGAUUUCAUUUCUUUUAAAGAGAACAUGUAAAAUAGAGAAAUUAUUUCUGUUAUUCACAGCGACAAACUAGGAUCCAGUAAUUUCAUAGAGAAGUUAUAGAGGAACUAAAAGAGGAAGAGAAGCAAGAUCUUAGAGAGCAGGUUGAAGUGCUGCACAGAGUGGGAUUCAGGGAGUUCCCAUGUGGCACAGUGGAAACAAAUUUGACUAAUGUCCAUGAGGAUGCGGGUUCGAUCCUUGAUCAUCUGGCUGUUGCCAUGAGCUGUGGUGUAGGUAGCAGAAGUCGCUCAGAUCCCACAUUACUGUGGCUGUGGUAUAGACCAGCAGCUGCAACUCCAAUUCGACCCCUAGCCUGGGAACUUCCACAUGCUGUGGGUGAGGCCCUAAAAAGCCAAAAAAAAAAAAAA